rnacentral:rRNA from 2 species
UGGGGAAUAUUGCACAAUGGAGGGAACUCUGAUGCAGCGACGCCGCGUGAACGAAGAAGGCUUUCGAGUCGUAAAGUUCUUUUAUAUGGGAAGAUAAUGACGGUACCAUAAGAAAAAGCCCCGGCUAACUACGUGCCAGCAGCCGCGGUAAUACGUAGGGGGCUAGCGUUGUCCGGAAUCACUGGGUGUAAAGGGUUCGCAGGCGGAAAUGCAAGUCAGGUGUAAAAGGCAGUAGCUUAACUACUGUAAGCAUUUGAAACUGCAUAUCUUGAGAAGAGUAGAGGUAAGUGGAAUUUUUAGUGUAGCGGUGAAAUGCGUAGAUAUUAAAAAGAAUACCGGUGGCGAAGGCGACUUACUGGGCUCAUUCUGACGCUGAGGAACGAAAGCGUGGGUAGCAAACAGG